AGUGAACGCUGGCGGUAGGCCUAACACAUGCAAGUCGAGCGGCAGCACAGUAAGAGCUUGCUCUUACGGGUGGCGAGUGGCGGACGGGUGAGGAAUACAUCGGAAUCUACUUUUUCGUGGGGGAUAACGUAGGGAAACUUACGCUAAUACCGCAUACGACCUACGGGUGAAGGCAGGGGAUCUUCGGACCUUGCGCGAUUGAAUGAGCCGAUGUCGGAUUAGCUAGUUGGCGGGGUAAAGGCCCACCAAGGCGACGAUCCGUAGCUGGUCUGAGAGGAUGAUCAGCCACACUGGAACUGAGACACGGUCCAGACUCCUACGGGAGGCAGCAGUGGGGAAUAUUGGACAAUGGGCGCAAGCCUGAUCCAGCCAUACCGCGUGGGUGAAGAAGGCCUUCGGGUUGUAAAGCCCUUUUGUUGGGAAAGAAAAGCAGCAGGUUAAUACCCCGCUGUUCUGACGGUACCCAAAGAAUAAGCACCGGCUAACUUCGUG
rnacentral:rRNA from 1 species